UUGGGCCAUCUUUUGUCAAAUUCAGACCUCUAUUUUCAAAGUUAAGAUCAUUCAACUUUUGUUUUAGUAAUGGGCCUUAUGAACAGAUCCAUGUGACUAGGCUGAAUUUAUUUUUAUUGAGACAAAAAUUGGGUAAAAGGCGGGUGCAGGCUAUGAAAACUGCCAUCACUCAAACGUCCUAAGUCAAGUGCCAGCAGAUUCAGCCACUUUACUUUCCAACACUCAGUGUCUUCUCCCAUGUAUGCUUGUCUCACACAACUGGCCCUGUGGGCAACGUGCAUAUCCAUUUUCUCUUGCCAGGGCAUGGGAAACACCCCAAGGACAGAGGCUGUCUCCACAGCCUUUAGGUGGAGUCCAAUUCUCGCUACAACGAAUGAGCUGGGCAUACUUGACCAAGGGCAAAGACCAGGGCACUCAUCUUUCACUCUUCUGCUGUAGGGCGCAGGGGACAGAAAGUUUCCUGGUCUGGGAAGGACUUGGUCCCUGAGUGCACCCAUCCCUGACCAUUUGUGCCAGCCUGGGGGCUGGGGCUCCUGCAGAGUGAGUUCCUGUCUUCACAAGAGCAGGGCGGUGGGGAGGGAGCGGCAUCCUGGCCUAGCUGCUCUCCAUGCCUACGACCACCGAGGAGAGCUGCCAGACGCUUGGGAGGCAGCCAGUUGCGCCCAGGCGCACCAGAUCUGAAAACGUUAGAAAGUCACACUACACGAGCGACGGUGCUGAGUGGGGAAGGAGAGUCUGAUCGGUAAGGAGGGGAGGACCUGGACCAACAUCAUGAUGCCUUUCCCUGAGCUGCAGAGUCUUGGAAAAGGACCAAGUUUUGGAGGGCUUCGAUCUGCACGUGUCGAGUGAGGUGUCAGACCUCCACUAUUCACAGACCGCAGAUGCUCAGGACCGAUCCUCUGAUCUUUCCUGCUUGCUGUGCCCAUGAAGAGAUGCUAUGAAUGGCCUGUGGAUCAUCCUGAGCACUAGUGUGAACCUCUGAAUACAUUCCUGGGCUCCCCUGCCAUGCCGCAGUGGGGGCUAUUCCUGUGCAGUGUUGCCAGUCUCAAGAGCCCACAAAUGAUCACCAGAAGCCCCCAAAUCCAGGGGCACACAGACAACUCUGGGUACCAUGAUGGACACAUGAAGGUCCAUAAACUGUUCCAUGAAUUGUCCAAAAGGGCUGCCUUCCACCCAUGUGUGGGAUACCAAGAGAUUUUAAAGAUAAAAUCCUGCUAAUGGCCCAUGAGACCCACUCUGUGACCUGGCCCCUCCCUUCUCCCUGUCUUCAUCUCUUACCAGCUCCCUCUUUCCCCUCAAACGUGCCAGGCUCAUUCCCUCCUCAAGGUCGUUGCCUUUGGUUUCUUCAGCCUGAAGUGUUCUGCUCCUAGACUUCUUCAUGGCUUUCUCCAUCAUUUCAACUACAUUUCUGCUCAACUGCCCCCUUCAGGUACACUGUCCGUGACCACUCUCUAAACUAGCUCUCCACUGUCUUUUAUGGUCAUUAUAAAAGGUAUAAUGAAUGUUUGGACUAUAUUGAAUGUUUUAUUUACUUGUUUGUUGUCUGUCUUUUCAACUAGAGUGUGAGCUCCAGGAGGGCUGGGGCCUGCCUGACUCCUUUACUUCUGCCUCAUUAGCCCCAAGCACAGUGCUGAGCCCACAGCAGGCACAGCGUAGCUACUUGUUGAAUAAGCAAAUGACUAAGACAGGGCCAGGUUAAAAAGUAAUAGGGCUGGCUCUCUUUCCUCCUCCUUAUAAUUGCUCUCCCCAGACCCUCAAAGCCCCAGGCCAUGAUGAGAUCUGGUCCCAGAAAACACUUGCUCUUGAUUUUUUGGCCAAAAAUAGAGAUGUGCAGGUGAACUGUGAUGGUGUGAUUUUAUUCUCUCUCUUAACUGGGGGAGAGAGCCUGGAGGAGACUGAGUGACUCAACGAAGACCCCAGACUGCAGAUGCACAUGGU